rnacentral:lncRNA from 1 species
AUGAUACUGAACCUGUUUUUCAAGAAAAUGGCAGUAUUGUCCAGGCCAUGAUUUCUUGCCUGCCUGGGGUGCAGCGUCCAUCCUACUUGUAAUAAAACUUAGACUUCAGUCAUGGUUCCACUGUUCCAUAUUCAAAGCCUUGAUCACAGUGUUUGAUCCAAUUAGUACAAACAUCUUCCUAUGUUGUUUGGUUCCACUGAUUCUAUUUCUCUAUUAAAAAUUAUUUUAGGUAAAGAAUAUGAAGGUUUGUACUCAUUACUCGAAGAAGUGUCUCUGUAAGUGCUUAGGAGAGUAAAUCCUACAGGUAUUGCCAGGACUAGAAGCAAAUUUUGAAGCUAAGUUUAAGAUUACACAUGAAAGCUAGUUAGAUAACUAUACUACCAAUCUCCCUUAGUUCAUCAAAAAGAACAGUUUGUGCUGUCAAUGUUUGAUCAUGUUUGUAUCUAGAUUUUGUAACCCGAACAACCAGUUCUGAGAUAACAAUGUGCAAUAUAUUGACUGGGUUAAUUCCCUUUUUUGAAAUUCUGUAUUAAUUCUAUCCUUUUUUUUUUCUGUGUUGCUUUUUAAAAUUAAAAAAAGAUUGCGGGAGAGAGAAGAAAGAAGAAGAAGAUGAAAAAGAAGAAGAAGGAGGAGGAGGAGGAGGAGGAGAGCAAACCUUUGUUUCCAGUCAUAUAGAUAAGUUUUCAAUAUCCAUUAUUGCCUAUUACAGUAACUUGGGUUUGCUUUAUUAUCAGAGUUAAAAAAUCAGACAUCUAUGAUGUGCUGUUGUAGAUUGUGUGAAAAGUAUGCCUGUCCAGAAUCAAUGUCAACUGGGAAGGAAAUCUGAAAUUUGAUAUUCAGGUCACUAAAAGAGAGAAAAAAAGACAGUGACCUUUGACCACGGUAUUCACAAAGGCCCCCUUGCCCUAGCAGGGGUGGGGAGCUUCAUCCUGAAUGCUAAAACCUGGCCUUCAACCCACAGUCCUGGCCCCUGAUUUGUAUCUUUUCCUCCUCCAUGGAAACAGCCAGUGAAGCACAGCUAUGCGUGGAAGACCGCUCCUCCCACAGGCUGCAUGUUCCCCCAAACAGCAGGCAACGUGCAUUCAGUGCAAGAGUGCACCCUAUGCCUGUGUGUAGACAAGAAUCACGUCAGUCAAAGAGAACUGAUAACAGGUAAAACAAAGCAGCUGAUAUUUAAGUGCUUCCUGUUCAUUCUUGGUAUAUCAACUAAUUAAAUGCAUGGACAGCUACGAGACGGGCUAUCUCAUCAGCCUCAUCUUAGAGGAAAAGAGGCAUACAGAGGUUUGCAGUGUAACUGAAGACACACAUGUUCCUUGAAAGGUAGGGACGGAAUUACCACAUUAUAUAACUUUAAAGUCCUGUUUUUCCUGAAUUUUG